rnacentral:rRNA from 1 species
AAAUUGAAGAGUUUGAUCAUGGCUCAGAUUGAACGCUGGCGGCAGGCCUAACACAUGCAAGUCGAGCGGUAGCACAAGAGAGCUUGCUCUCUGGGUGACGAGCGGCGGACGGGUGAGUAAUGUCUGGGAAACUGCCUGAUGGAGGGGGAUAACUACUGGAAACGGUAGCUAAUACCGCAUAACGUCUACGGACCAAAGUGGGGGACCUUCGGGCCUCACGCCAUCAGAUGUGCCCAGAUGGGAUUAGCUAGUAGGUGGGGUAAUGGCUCACCUAGGCGACGAUCCCUAGCUGGUCUGAGAGGAUGACCAGCCACACUGGAACUGAGACACGGUCCAGACUCCUACGGGAGGCAGCAGUGGGGAAUAUUGCACAAUGGGCGCAAGCCUGAUGCAGCCAUGCCGCGUGUGUGAAGAAGGCCUUAGGGUUGUAAAGCACUUUCAGCGAGGAGGAAGGGUAGUGUGUUAAUAGCACAUUGCAUUGACGUUACUCGCAGAAGAAGCACCGGCUAACUCCGUGCCAGCAGCCGCGGUAAUACGGAGGGUGCAAGCGUUAAUCGGAAUUACUGGGCGUAAAGCGCACGCAGGCGGUUUGUUAAGUCAGAUGUGAAAUCCCCGCGCUUAACGUGGGAACUGCAUUUGAAACUGGCAAGCUAGAGUCUUGUAGAGGGGGGUAGAAUUCCAGGUGUAGCGGUGAAAUGCGUAGAGAUCUGGAGGAAUACCGGUGGCGAAGGCGGCCCCCUGGACAAAGACUGACGCUCAGGUGCGAAAGCGUGGGGAGCAAACAGGAUUAGAUACCCUGGUAGUCCACGCUGUAAACGAUGUCGAUUUGGAGGUUGUGCCCUUGAGGCGUGGCUUCCGGAGCUAACGCGUUAAAUCGACCGCCUGGGGAGUACGGCCGCAAGGUUAAAACUCAAAUGAAUUGACGGGGGCCCGCACAAGCGGUGGAGCAUGUGGUUAAAUUCGAUGCAACGCGAAGAACCUUACCUACUCUUGACAUCCAGAGAACUUUCCAGAGAUGGAUUGGUGCCUUCGGGAACUCUGAGACAGGUGCUGCAUGGCUGUCGUCAGCUCGUGUUGUGAAAUGUUGGGUUAAGUCCCGCAACGAGCGCAACCCUUAUCCUUUGUUGCCAGCGAUUCGGUCGGGAACUCAAAGGAGACUGCCGGUGAUAAACCGGAGGAAGGUGGGGAUGACGUCAAGUCAUCAUGGCCCUUACGAGUAGGGCUACACACGUGCUACAAUGGCGUAUACAAAGAGAAGCGAACUCGCGAGAGCAAGCGGACCUCAUAAAGUACGUCGUAGUCCGGAUUGGAGUCUGCAACUCGACUCCAUGAAGUCGGAAUCGCUAGUAAUCGUAGAUCAGAAUGCUACGGUGAAUACGUUCCCGGGCCUUGUACACACCGCCCGUCACACCAUGGGAGUGGGUUGCAAAAGAAGUAGGUAGCUUAACCUUCGGGAGGGCGCUUACCACUUUGUGAUUCAUGACUGGGGUGAAGUCGUAACAAGGUAACCGUAGGGGAACCUGCGGUUGGAUCACCUCCUUA